UACGAAGGGGCUAGCGUUGUUCGGAAUUACUGGGCGUAAAGCGCACGUAGGCGGCUUGGUAUGUCGGGUGUGAAAUCCCCGGGCUCAACCUGGGAACUGCAUCCGAAACUGCCUUGCUAGAGUAUGGGAGAGGGAAGUGGAAUUUCCGGUGUAGCGGUGAAAUGCGUAGAUAUCAAGAGGAACACCAGUGGCGAAGGCGGAGUCCCUGGACAACACCUGACACUGAGGCACGAAAGCUAGGGGAGCAAACAGG
rnacentral:rRNA from 1 species